UACGGAGGGUGCGAGCGUUAAUCGGAAUUACUGGGCGUAAAGCGCAUGCAGGCGGUCUGUUAAGCAAGAUGUGAAAGCCCGGGGCUCAACCUCGGAACAGCAUUUUGAACUGGCAGACUAGAGUCUUGUAGGAGGGGGGUAGGAAUUUCAGGUGUAGCGGUGAAAUGCGUAGAGAUCUGAAGGAAUACCGGUGGCGAAGGCGGCCCCCUGGACAAAGACUGACGCUCAGAUGCGAAAGCGUGGGGGAGCAAAACAGGAUUAGAUACCCGGGUAGUCC
rnacentral:rRNA from 1 species